rnacentral:rRNA from 1 species
UACGAAGGGGGCUAGCGUUGCUCGGAAUCACUGGGCGUAAAGCGCGCGUAGGCGGCUUUGUAAGUUAGAGGUGAAAGCCCGGGGGCUCAACCCCGGAAUUGCCUUUAAGACUGCAUCGCUUGAAUCCGGGAGAGGUGAGUGGAAUUCCGAGUGUAGAGGUGAAAUUCGUAGAUAUUCGGAAGAACACCAGUGGCGAAAGCGGCUUCCUGGUCCAGCACCGACGUUCAGGCACGAAAGCGUGGGGAGCAAACAGG